ensembl:lncRNA
AUGUACAGAUUCACAGGAGUGAGAGUUUAUUCAUUAGUGAUGAUCUGCCUGAUUAAAGGUCACAUGGGUGAUGCUGCUGACCCUGUGCCUGCCAUUACAGGAGGAAGUGUCAUCAUCAACUGUGUGUAUAAUCGUGAAAAUGCGAAAACCAGUGCAAAAAGCUUUUGCAAAAAGUUGGGCAGUAAUUGUACAACCAUGACAGAAGUAAAGAAUGAUUUAUGGAUCCCAGAGGAGAGAUUCUCUAUGACUGAUAAUACAACUCUGGGUCUGAUUAGUGUGCUCAUUAGAAACCUGACUGUAAAUGACAGUGUAUUUCUGUGGAAUAUACAGCAACCUUAUCUACAUUCCCCUUUUCACAGAGAUUCAUCUUCAUGUUUCAGGUGAGAACACAAGGUGCUUCACGAUGCCACAGAAGAACCUUUUUGUCUAAAUGGUUCCAUAAAGAAUCUUUACAUCUGAAGAACCUUUCUGUUUCACAAAAGCUUCUUUGUGGUGAAAGAAUGUUCUUCGGAUUAUAAAAAGGGAAGAAAGAGAUGGUUCUUUGACUGAAUGGUUCUUUAUGGAGCCAAAAAUGGUUCUUCUAUGGCAUCGCUGUGAAGAACCCUCUGAAGUACCUUUAUUUUAAAGAGUGUACAUGUAAUGUAUGCUAAUGUCAUUUUGAUUCUUGACCUUUCAUCUGUGGACAACAAUGGAAAACCAAGAACAGAUGCUUCAGUCCAGUCUGAUCUCUACGUCAUCAUUAUGGUGAAUAUGUGUUUGAUUCUGUUAUUAGCUGGAGGACUGAGUUUGUUGUUGCUCAAGCGGAAAUGUAAAAAGACACAAGGUUCAGUCUCAUCAGAUCAGAGGAGCACAAGAGACGAUGAUGAGGUGGCCUCAUCUGCUUAUUAUGCAACGAUCCCAGACUCUGGAAACACAACAUUACACCCGUCUGUUCAGAAGCCCAUUGGUUUAAACACGGUUUAUGACACGGCCCAUUUACCCACAAACCCCUCUGACAGUGAUUUCUACACACUGGCUGAACAACCUCAAAAUAUGACAUGUUUGUGAUUCAGUAUGUUGGCAUAUAUUAGAAUAAAUAAAGUCAAUUAUUUGUCA